rnacentral:rRNA from 1 species
UUUGUAGUCCUGGCUCAGGAUGAACGCUGCGGCGUGCCUAACACAUGCAAGUCGAGCGAAGCAUACAGGAGGAAGUUUUCGGAUGGAAUCCUGCAUGACUGAGCGGCGGACGGGUGAGUAACGCGUGGGUAACCUGCCUUAUACAGGGGGAUAACAGUUAGAAAUGACUGCUAAUACCGCAUAAGCGCACAGUACCGCAUGGUAGUGUGUGAAAAACUCUGGUGGUAUAAGAUGGACCCGCGUCUGAUUAGCCAGUUGGCGGGUAACGGCCCACCAAAGCGACGAUCAGUAGCCGACCUGAGAGGGUGACCGGCCACAUUGGGACUGAGACACGGCCCAAACUCCUACGGGAGGCAGCAGUGGGGAAUAUUGCACAAUGGGGAAACCCUGAUGCAGCAACGCCGCGUGAGUGAAGAAGUAUUUCGGUAUGUAAAGCUCUAUCAGCAGGGAAGAAGAUGACGGUACCUGAUUAAGAAGCCCGGCUAACUACGUG